UGUAUGUUCCUCUCGUUUUCUGUGCAUUUUCAACUUUUUAUACCUUUCUCUGACAGUAUAACAAAUUGUUGACAAUGGCAGCUUGAGGGAUACUGGUGUUUGUUGCUUAUUUCGGGUAGAGUAUAAAUGAUUUCUUCCUUAAGGACGUUUCUUACCUCAAUUAGAUCAAUGUUUUGGUGACGUUGAUCGGCUUCAGAGUGCAAGCGCCGUUCGCUUUAGACUUCACGUAACAUAUUCCCUCUAGGUGGACAGUAGUUACCAUUGUCGCCAAGGCAAAGCGUGUAAGGACCAUGCCGUUUUUCCAGUUUCGUGACUUGUGCAUUGUUACCACGGAGUGGGUUUGGAUAAGGUUUUAAUUGCUUGUUAAACCAGUCGUCCCUAGUUUGUCCACCUUAAUUAGCCGUAUACUAUAAAAAUCAAAAGGUGAUGUGUAAAUUGUUACAGCAUGAAAAGUCUUUUUAAACAUCCCAUUUCGGAUUCACACCUUAUUCACAAAAAGGAACCUUCAAUGACACAGAAAGUUUUCCUUUCUAAAAAAUUCUUCCGGAG